rnacentral:rRNA from 1 species
UACGUAGGGCGCAAGCGUUGUCCGGAAUUAUUGGGCGUAAAGAGCUCGUAGGUGGUGUGUCGCGUCUGCCGUGAAAGCCCGGGGCUUAACUCCGGGUCUGCGGUGGAUACGGGCAGACUAGAGUGCGGUAGGGGAGACUGGAAUUCCUGGUGUAGCGGUGAAAUGCGCAGAUAUCAGGAGGAACACCGGUGGCGAAGGCGGGUCUCUGGGCCGUAACUGACGCUGAGGAGCGAAAGCGUGGGGAGCGAACAGG